GCUGGGUGUGGUGGUGCACACCUGUAAUCCAGCUACUUGGAGGCUGAGGCAGGAGAAUCGCUUGAACCUGGGAGGCAGAGAUUGCAGUGAGCUGAGAUCGCGCCACUGCACUCCAGCCUGGGUGGCAGAGUGAGAUCCCGUCUCAA
rnacentral:SRP_RNA from 1 species